AUUUACAGGUAUUAGAAAAUAUUAUCUUUCUUUUGUGCUUUUUUUCCCCAUUUAAAAAUGACAACAGCAUUUUGGACACACUGUCCAAAAGCAGGAGUUAGGCUAGAUUUGGCCUGUGGGUCAUAGUUUGUUGACUCCUGGUCCAAGGAAGGGGCACGUGACCCACAAAAGGCCAAAGUCGUGCCAUGAGAUUUAAAACGUGGACACUGGGAGAGAACGUGUGCCUCUUCCUUUUGGAUCAUGAUUUCCAUGGCUGUCUUCCUUCCCACAUGGAGAGAGGCCGUUUGUGGCAGGAGAGAAUGAGGCCAACAGCAAAGAGAAUUAGAGCUAAGCAGAGCCAGCUAAGAGAGAGAGAAAAAGAGCCCUGAAAACCUCCUUUGAGCCUCAAGGUCUAGGCACACCUACGAAUUCCAUGAGCCAGUGAAUUCCUUUUAUUUUUCUUCUAAUCGACUUUGAGUCAGGUGUUGGUCACCUCUACAGCGAGAGAGCUCUGAGAGAGACGUGUGGGCUUGUUUUCCUCACCCUGCGCAAUACUGCCUUACACAAUUCUUCAGAAAAAGGCAAUCCUAGCGUGCAUUCUGUACUCAUCACAGACCACACAGUUCGGAAAGAAUGAUGGAAGAGUGAAUUUUGUCAGGGCACGCUUAAUCCCUUUUCUGGGAAAGAGAACUUGUCCGGAUCAGGAAUCCCCACUGUUCCCUCUGGCCGUUCUGGGCCCCGGGGAGUGGUGGUCCUAGAGUUCUUUCCCAGUUGCCCGGCCGGCUGAGAGGAUGAGCAGCUGAGACACAAUGAUGAACAGCCUGGGUUAAUCCAGGCUGCAGUUUACAACUCCCUUGCAGGACUGACCCAGGAUUUCCUUCAGACGUAUCACUUCACGGCAGCUGGCUGGCUUGACUUUGCCAACUGCUUGACCCCUGGCUGCACAGGAAGCUUCUGCAGGUAGAACGUGGCCUGCCUGAGGAGCCGAGACUGCCUGAGGAGCCGAGACACCCUGAGCUCCUGAGGAACAGAGACACCCUGAGCUCCUGAGGACAGAACAGAAAGGCUUGUACAAACAGGGUUUGCCUGAUGCAGGCUGAGAAAGGAGCCAGGGAAAACUAAUCCUCCACCGCCAUCCGCUAAGCCUCACCUUGAUGGAUCAGCCCUUGGAGUUUUGGAUUGAGGACAAAGAACUACCAUAUUAAUAGCUAUGACUUAUGGGACAAUUACUGUACCUCUUUCCAUUUCUUAUGAAAAUAGCUGCCAUUGUUUUUCAAGCAAUCGCUCUGUGCCAGGCACUUCACUUAUGUGAUUCUUAGUCAUCUUAACACCCCUACAAAGUAGACAAGAAAUAGUACCUACUCUUUUAUGGACAAGGUAACUGAGAUGACUAGAGGUUAAGAAAUGACGAACAUGAGGAAGGAAGGGGAGCUUGUACCCAAUCAGUCUCUACUUCACUCCCCCUGCCAAAGGGGAUGAGGGAUUAAAUGAGAAGAGGGGGGCAAUUCUUUCCCAGCCCUCAGUAGUUUGUCAGGAGGUCAGGAGGGGUCAAGCCACCCGAAAUAGAAAUGGGGCUUGAGGCGUGAGUCCCUCCUGAGGCUCUGGGCCUCUUUGAAGGGAGGGAUUAUUGUUAUUUUGUGUUUCCCUGGUGUACCCUCAGCAUAACUCAUCCUUGGCUCUGAGCCGGGGCACAAAAAAAAUGUUUGUUGAAUGAAUGAGUAAAUGAGUCCAAGUGUCUGCUUUCUGUAAAACAGGAAAUGGCUGAGGGGACCCUGACUCGAUGAGGUCUUCUCUUUGUUUAAGUUGCUUUUGAGAACUCUAAGAAGUCAGGGGGGCUCUUAGGGUCAUCCACGCUACCAUUCAGUGUGGUGGAGUAGAAAUUUACCCAAUUUCACAGGUCAUUUCAUGGGCAGUGAUUAACCUAAGGACACUGAGAUGGCCUGCAGGAGUCUACGCAUCUUUCAAAAACACCUCCUACUAGACUGCUGAGGAAUACUUUGGAGCAGGAAAAGGGUCUGAUUCCAUAAACUUUCUACAGAAAGUAGGUCUUUUUUUUUUUUCUGAAACUUAACAAGGCAGUGUUCAAGUCAAGUGCUGGGUGCUGAAAAAGUUAAGCAGAGACCUCUAGAAGGCAAGUCUUUCAAAUGGGGAAAGAGCACAGGAGGGAAAAUUUGGGCAAAAAGGUCAAAAAUUGGAACUUUGACUAUUUUCUGCCUAGCAGGCGGGCCCUGAACCAAAUUCCCCUUUGCUUGCUCUUUGGGGCAAGGCUGAGUUAGUAAGCUAUAAAUUCCACUAGCGUAAGUGUGAGGAAUGUGGAGAUGAAUGUGGGGAAGUCUUCGUUCCAGAGGAAAGGGCAUGACAGUGGGCCAGCUGGAGAUGGAAGACAGAACAUAUCCCAAGUGCCAACGGAGAUUUGAAAUUAGAAUCUGGGCUCAACCUGCAUCUAGGUUUUAAGAACUCUGUAAGUGGAUAAGGCUGUCAAGUAGUUGGAGGAAAUUUUCUAGAGACCUGAAGUGACACAGCAUUGAUUGGCCAAGAAAAAUGAUCAGCAUAGUUAUCUGAUCAUUUGAGUCAAUAUAUCUUCUUGGCAAAGAGGAGCAUUUGUGCAGGGCUCUAGGAGCUGGAGGGGAAAGGGCAACCGAAGAGAGAGCCCCGUGAAGGUGAGCAGGAGGAGGUCAGCUGGUGCCCAGAGAAGCCCAUCUGGGCUUAUCAAAGGCAGCUUGAUGGAGACGGGUUGUCUAAACAACGUGCCAAAUUUCUGGUGGGUUGUGGAUGACGCCCUCCCAUAGAACUCAUGGCCUGGGAUCCAGGCCUGGAGCUUACUUUGGAACUUGCUCUGGAGGAUCAUUUUUAUUGGGAAGUGUGGUUUGGAAUGUAAAACUCUUGAGAACUCUAUCUUUGAAGAUCAAUGUUUGCUGGCACAAACUAAGGCGCUUUGGGUUCUUGGAUAUUUAAACUACUGCCUAUUUCCUUACUGUGAUUAGACUAGGUGUAAAACAAUGGUUUCAAGGAAUUCAAGGAUGAUGACCCUCUUAAGGUUUGUUUGGAGUGCAGGGAUUAAAACUGUGCUUUCUUAACGUGAACUCACCCGGUCAUUGGGUGGGUGAACAGCAGCAAAGGUAUCGCAUUAAUGGCCAGAAAUGGGGACUCUGGACCAACUCUGCCGUUCAGGUGUGAAGUUGGGCAAGCCAUUGACCCUCUUCGUGUCUCAUUUUCCUUACUUUUAACGUGGAGAUGCUACUAUCUUCUUGUCAAAGUGAAAUAAAGUAAUAAGUGACCAAGUGCUUUUUUAAGUAUAAAAAUCGAUUCGACUGCAUUAUAUGAAAAAGGCCCGAGAGUCUGCGUUUAAAUCCCAGUUCUGUGAUUUACCGCCUGUGUAAUCUUGGACAUACUUCUUAACUGUCAGUGCCUUUAUUCCCCGAUCUCUAAGCACCUCUCUCAGAAAGGUGUUGUGGAGAUAGAAUAAUGUAGGUGAAGCACCUGGCUUAUAGAUGGGACUUAUAAAUGAUACUGGUUGUGAUUAUGACUCUUAUCAAGCAAGAUAGACAUGCUAAGUUUUUAUACUAGUACUUAACCUGGUAUAUGGUACAUUCUGAUUAUUAUUACCAUUAUCCUUAAUGUUUCUACCAGAUAUGAAAACCAUGUAGAACAUUUAGAGACAGAAUUUCUCUUGCCUGUCUAGAUAAUGGCUGAGUAAAACAGAAGUAAAUCCAGUCUACGCAGAGAGCAACCUGGCCUUUAUUGAACCUAAAGCUUUUCCCACCGCCCCCAGAAAUCCUGUUGCACAAGAGUUUUUAUUUUAUUCAAAUGGGAACAAUGAAUGGACUAAAACCACUAACAGUAUUUAAUGCAUAGGCCUUUGACAUGAUUUCUCAGCAAUAACCUAGUGGUAACCACAGCCACACAAGACUAAUGUUCUGCCAGAAGCCUCAAAGCCAGGCUGGUGUCCUUCCUCUAACUCACCACAAGAGAUUGUACCAAAGCAGUGGGGUAGAAGGAGCCCAUAUUUUAAAAAUUACAGGACAAAGAAACUGGAGUCCAAAAUAUUCAUAGGCAGGAUGUAUAAUAAUCUCAUAAUAUCCAUAACUGCCAAGGGAGAACUAAUGACACCAGCAUGCUUUAUCUGGUAAAACAAAAAGAAAAUGGUAGGGAAACAAAAUUGGUUAAGCUUGCUAGAAAGCUCAUAAAACACCUAGAUAUUUCUUUUUCUAGGCCAAGGGUCUAAUGGUUACAUCUAAGUUUUUUUUUUCUGCCCAUUACAUUUUUUUGGAGGCAGGUCUAUUUUUGUGUUUAAUGAGUCUCUGAAAACGUACAUGAAAAGUUUAAUAUAUGAAAAUCAAGCAAUAGCCUUACAUGUUAUGUGGGGAAUUUUAUCCUCAAGAGCUAAAAAAAAAAAAAAAAAGAUAAUGUCCCUAGUAGAUGUUAUAAAUGUUUUAAUCUUGGAUUGAAAAUAGAAACCUGAAUGUUAAUACAAUAUAUGUGAUUAUUAAAAAUGUUCAAAAUACAAAUUAAACAUUAAAUACAGGCAA